CCAAUUUUAUAAGAGUAGAGUGGCAUCCGACUGAUUUGACGAAUAGAAAUAUUAUUUUUCUAAAUAAGUGAAUUUGUAAUGGCAUGUGUCUAAUUAACCCUAAAAAGAAAUAAGCCAAUCUUGAGAUAUAUUUUAAUGUUUAAAUAACUACCAAUGAUUAUGUUGGGGUUUUUUUUAGAAAAUACAAAAAAUUAUCAAAUUAUGAUUUCCCUAUUUUAGAAUUUUUGUGUUGAAAUGUUUUUAUAUGCCAUGCUCAUGAGCUAAUCAUGUUAUUAUCGGAGAUGGAUAUCUGGUAUCUACCUCAACUUCACAUAUCACAAGUACAAUGGACCAUAAUCUCUUCAAGAUCCAGCUUAUCCAAGUCCUAAUCCUUCUUGUAUCAUUGCUGCUGUCUACUUGCCUUCCAUGAAUGAUCCUUUGUUGCUGUGAACGAGCUAGAUAGCUACAUACCAUCUUUCUGUAAUGAAAACCGAGAGUAGUUUACGGAUCAGAACAAGGAGAAGUGUAUGGAUUAAGGGUCGCUGAAGCAGCAUCAAGCAGAGAAAUCGGUAUCAGGUAACAUAAUGACACUGAUGACAGAUGAGCUGAAUGAAGUUCAUGUUGCUACUAAACGAAUAAUGAGAAGGCAUGGAACACCAUGAUGUUGUGUACAGUUUGAUGAGAGCUAUGUGAAAAUUAGCCUAGUUCAGUUGAUUGAUUGAUCAUUUGAUGCGCCUGGCUAAUUAACAUUCAGAAAGUUGGACUGAACUGAACUCUGAACAAGCUGGCUGACUUCAGCCAUGCAUGCAUUUCUUGGCAAAUUUUCUCUGCAAUUUAUCCCCGUUAUGUGAGCUGUAAUUAGAUCAUGGCCAGAGACCGGACAAUGAUAACAGAUAGCUCAUCUUUCUCUGAAGAACCAGCAGCAGAUUGGAUCUCCUUAUCAGACUGUCUUUCAGAAUUGGUUAGCCUUGCAGAUGUACUAAAUGACUUGCUGGGACAUGUUGAAUUGUUUAUGAGCAGCAUAUUUAUAUGCAUGAUUGCAUUGCAUCAGAGACCUCACAUCACUUGGUAGUUGGUACCUUUAAUUUGGUUGGAAUGACAUUUCUGUCCCAGUAAAAUAUGAUUAACAAGAACAGUCUGAAAGUUUUUUCUUCACCUUUUUGAGAACUCUGCAAGAGGAAUUAUUCAGGAUGACAGACUGACAGUAGGACACUGCUUGAUCGCUUUCAGAUGCUAUAUGCUCCUAUCUUGAGACUGAAGAUAAGUGGGAGAAAAACAGCGUAUUUUCUUGGAUUAAUAACUUAAUUCCAUUACCUACCACUUAAUGUCUAGUGUUGAGUGGAACUAAAGUAUGGUCCUUAGCUGCAUCUUUCGGUUCCUGUGGCUUUACUUACAAGGCAUGACUCUGGUUUGUUCCAAACCUGUGGCUUACUCUUUUCACAAGUCAAAAUGUUUUUCCCCCUGUAAGAUGUAUGUUUUGCCUUCUUACA